CCCGUAGGCCCUAACCACGCGACGACGGCAUCUUUUUAUUUCUCAGCGCCUCCGGUGUCGUCUCCUUCACUUCUCCUUCCUCCCUGCGCCUGAAUACAGCAAAUUUCCGGCCAUCUCCGGCACCUAAAAUAAUCUCAGGUGCGAGAAUCGUGGUUUUCGUUCUACUUCACGUUGUCUUGCUGGUAUUUCGAUGACAAAGUUGGGUCAAUCGCUAAAAUGGAGAUGAGCUGCCAGUCAAAUGGCAAUUCUAGUGGUAUUCAGCAGCUCUGUAACUCUGUGGGGACCUCAUACCAGGGCAAGAGUUACUCGGGGUAUAUGCCUCCUCCUUCAUUUGUGAGUGGAUGGAUGUAUGUUAAUGAACAAGGUCAAAUGUGCGGUCCGUAUAUUCAGCAGCAGCUGUAUGAAGGUUUAAAUACCGGCUUUUUGCCGGACGUGCUUCCAGUAUAUCCUGUGGUAAAUGGGGCAUUAAUAAACCCAGUACCGUUGAAGUAUUUCAAGCACUUCCCUGAUCAUGUCGCCACUGGGUUUGCAUAUCUGAGUCUGGGCAGCGUCUCGAGCUCAAGCACGCCUACUGAUUCUCUUAAAUCAUGCCAUGGGGAUUUGGCUACAUCUAGUAUACCUACACCGGUUCCUACUAGUUAUCUGAACUCCACUGCACAGGCCAACUGCAACACUGAUUUUUCUAAUAAGUCGACUUUGAACACCGAAGCACCUAACCAAGUUACUUCAUAUCAGUCACUGUCAAGUAAAGAGUCUUGCUGGUUGUAUGACGACAAGGAAGGGAAGAGAAAUGGGCCAUAUUCUCUUUUCGAAUUAACUUCUUGGCAUCGAUAUGGAUAUCUUCGGGAUUCACUGAUGAUUUAUCAUGUCAAGAACAAGUGUGAACCCUUCACACUGUCAUCUGUUGUUAGUUCAUCGAAACUUGAUGGACUUGAAACCAUCACUACAUUUGAUACUGAAGGUAAUCAGUCUGGCUCGUCCGUAAGCAUUAUAUCUGAAGUUGCGGAGGGAGUUUCUUCCCAACUGCACUAUGGAAUUUUGAAGUCAGCACGUAGAGUGGUGUUAGAUGAGAUAAUCAGCAAUGUGAUUGCUGAGUUUGUUAUCACAAAGAAAGCUCAGAAACUUAACCAGAAUAUGAAGACGUGCUCCUUGGAUGCAAAAACAUCUGAAAUUGAUGGAGAGAACCCAGCUCUUUUAAGUGAGGCUGGGACUUCUGACUGUGUUGCUGAAAGGACAUGUAUCAACCCAGAUUCAGCAGAGCCUUCACCAAGCACUAAAUCUGUUGGAAGCAUUCAGAAUUAUCGAGAUUGUUAUGCAGUUGUUUGCGGAAUGCUCUUCAAUCAUUGCAUGGAAGUCAUGUGGAAUGCAGUCUUCUAUGAUUCAGUGGCAGAAUAUUCAUCUGCUUGGAGGAGAAGGAAAGUUUGGACUGGCUCUUCGUUGUUUGGGAUACCUCCUAAUAGAUGUGGUGAGAGGGUGGAGAAGAUUCCAAACUUAAAUCAUGAAACUUUUUGCCAUGAUGAUGAUGAUAAUGAUGAUCGCCCCCCUGGUUUUGAACUGUUGGGAGCUGAGUUAGGGUGUCAACCUCAGCCGUCAUUGAUAUCUUCAUCAGUUCUAAUGAUGGAAAAGCCAACGAUACAGAUAGGUCCCUCAUAUGAAGACAUGAAAUACAUUGUAAAGCACAUUGAAAAUGAACUCCAAUUGUCUGCAAAGAGUUCCUUGUCUGAGUAUGUUGGAUCCUUUGUUGAUGAGGAAGUGAGUAAACUGGCUAAUUUGUCCACAGAAGAGAAAUCGGUAAAGGACAAUGUUGACUGUUCUAUGAGGAGCAUAGGUUCAUCUGACCUGUGCAACAAAUUGAGGACUUCAGAUGGCACAUCUGCAGAUAUAAUUCUGUCUGAUAUUACUCUAACUCCACAAAUGGAAAAACCUUUCCAUGUUUCUCUCCCUGAGAAUCAUAUGUCUAAUUUUCUGGCAAUUGCUUUUAAGGAAGUCUGUUCACAUGUUGAUGAUUCUGAUGUGGACCAAGAAGUAAUUGAACCAUUACCCCCUGGACUCACAGCGAAUGUUAAAAUAUUUGGACAAUCAAAACCUAUUUGCAAAUUUCAACCUUCAAGGUCAGAAGAAUGUACUCCUAAGAUUGGAGCCUAUGUUGCUACAGCAAUGUUGCGGAAGAAACUCCAUGAUGAUAUUAAUAGAGAAUUGAAAUCAUCAUUCAUUGAUUUGGCUCUUAAUAAGUUUCUUGGAUCAUGGCGAACUUCAAGGAAGAACCAUGUCCGUCAUAAGGAUAAAGCAUGCAACACAAUUAAUAAAGAAGAAUUAAAGCAUCGUCACAGUUCUCUCACUGCGGAAGUAUCUCCAGUGAUGGAUGAAUUUACAUAUCAGCGCAAGCGGUUGCUGCGGAAAAAGUCGAGUUCUUCUGGUCAUGUAACUCUAGUUAAUAAUGGGUUGAAGAGUGAAACACUGGGGAAGUUAAAGAAGCUACAUGUUGGUAUAGAUGUGCCGAAGAAUGCUACUGUGAUUCCUAAAAAACAAGGUCUGAGCAAAUCCCAAAUUGAAUCAUCUGUUGAUGCCAUAUCUAUAAAAGUCAAUGCUAAAAGGGUUUUAUCAACUGAUAAGUCAGCAACUAAGAGUGCCAGUAGCCGGAAGCCAUUGAAGGGUUCUCAUGAACAAAGUUGUGAGUCCAUUGACAAUGUUGUUGAUGGCGUCAGCUCAAUCAAGGGAUAUCAAACUGAAUUAUCUGUUGGUGCCGUUCCCUUGCAAGCCAUCAAUAAGAGAUGUCCGUCCGCUGAUACACUGGCAGCUAAUAAUGCUAGUAGUCGAAAACGAUUGAAGGUUUCUCAGGCAGUUAAAGGUGUUGAACCCAUGGAUAAACCUAGUAAAAGGAUGGUCUUAGCUCAUGUUCGGGAUCACAAUGAUAUUGAGAAAGUUCUUAAUAGCCAUGGCCGUGAUGGUCAGCUUAAAGAAGAUCCUUUAUCUAAGGUGCCGAAGCUGAAAAGAGAGCGUCCAGUUGGCGGCUCACAAUUGCCACAUCCCAAAAGGGUCUUGAAAGUAGCCAAUGAUGUUCUCAAGCAAGCAGCAAACAUCCCAGUGGCAGUAAGAAAGGCCCGGUCCAGUAAGUCAAAGACAUCAAAUCCUUGCCCUAAAUCUGAUGGAUGUGCCCGUGCUUCGAUUAAUGGCUGGGAAUGGCAUCGAUGGUCACUAAACGCAAGUCCUGUUGAAAGAGCUCGUGUUAGGGGAAUCAAAUAUGUUAAUGCCCAGCAUACAACUUCUGAAACUAAUACAUCACAGUUGUCAAAUGGCAAGGGUCUUUCUGCAAGAACAAAUAGGGUGAAAAUGCGCAGUCUUCUUGCUGCUGCGGACGGUGCUGACCUUUUGAAAACCACUCAAUUAAAGGCAAGGAAAAAGCUUCUACGUUUUCAGCGGAGCAAGAUACAUGAUUGGGGUCUUAUUGCCUUGGAGCCAAUCGAGGCAGAAGAUUUUGUUAUUGAAUAUGUUGGAGAAUUGAUACGUCCCCAGAUAUCUGAUAUACGCGAGCGUCACUAUGAGAAGAUGGGAAUUGGCAGUAGCUAUUUGUUUAGAAUUGAUGAUGGUUAUGUGGUCGAUGCUACAAAACGUGGAGGAAUUGCUAGAUUUAUAAACCAUUCUUGUGAGCCUAACUGUUACACCAAGGUCAUAAGUGUUGAGGGUGAGAAAAAGAUUUUCAUUUAUGCAAAAAGACAUAUAGCUGCUGGUGAAGAAAUAACGUACAAUUAUAAGUUUCCAUUGGAGGAUAAAAAGAUUCCAUGCAAUUGUGGUUCAAAAAGGUGCCGCGGAUCAUUAAAUUAGGAAUUUGAGUCCUCUACACGAGUAAUGCCAUUUUGAAGUUGCAUAUUGCUGUUGGGGCGGCAGUAUAUUUGGAGAGCUACUUUGAAUUGCUUGGAGGAGCUGGAGUUCUGUUCUUUCAAGACAGAGAGCAGCCUGCCCUUCACAUGCUGUUUGAAUAUUUUGGACUCUGUAAAUAACAAUGGAUGAGUCACCUCAGAGUGCUUCAGUUGCAUUCAGUAUCAAUUGUUACAAAUCAGUGUUGACAUAAAAGACUGGAUAAUGUGGCCACCGAGACUCUAUGACACAGAAUUUUGCCUAAUUUUCAAAGAUAUAGCGACUGACCCAUGACCCAUGUGCAUUCUUGUAGAAUUUCUCUGUUGCAGAUGAGUUUCUCCUCUUUAGAAACUGUAAAUCAAUUGAUUUCCUGCACAUAACAAAUUUUGGAAUCUCAAAUUCUUGUAUAAACAUGCACUACUUUUUUUUUUUUU